AAAACUGGGGGGAUGACCUGUGGAUAGGGGUGAAAGGCCAAUCAAACACCGUGAUAGCUGGUUCUCCCCGAAAUGCAUUUAGGUGCAGCGUCGCGUGUUUCGUGCUGGAGGUAGAGCACUGUUUGGAUACGGGGGCCUACAAGCUUACCAACUUCAGACAAACUCCGAAUGCCAGUACGUCACCAGCGCGGCAGUGAGACUGCGGGGGAUAAGCUCCGUGGUCGAGAGGGAAACAGCCCAGAUCGCCAGCUAAGGUCCCUAAAUCAUGGCUAAGUGGUAAAGGAUGUGGGACGUCCCAGACAACCAGGAGGUUGGCUUAGAAGCAGCCACCCUUUAAAGAGUGCGUAAUAGCUCACUGGUCAAGAAGUCCCGCGCCGACAAUGUAACGGGGCUAAGCCAUGUACCGAAGCUGCGGCAUCGUGUCAUGAACGCGAAAGCGGACACGUUGGGUAGGGGAGCGUUGAUACUCGAGUGAAGCGGCGGGGGAACCCAGCCGUGGACGUGUAUCAAGAGCGAAUGCCGGCAUGAGUAGCGAAAGAGGGGGGAGGAACCCCUCCGCCGAAUGUCCAAGGGUUCCUGGGGAAGGUUCAUCCGCCCAGGGUAAGUCGGGACCUAAGGCGAGGCCGACAGGCGUAGUCGAUGGACAACAGGUUGAUAUUCCUGUACCGGCUUUAAGCCGCCAAAAGCCGAACCCGGUUUGCUAAGGAAACCCCUUCGGGGGCUACCGACCCAACCGGUACUAGGCUAGCGAUGGGGUGACGCAGGAGGGUAUGGCAUCCCCGGCGAUGGUUGUCCGGGGGUAAGUAUGUAGGCCGUGGUCCAGGCAAAUCCGGGCCACACGAGGCUGAGAUACGACGCCGACACGAAAAGUGGAAGUGCCAAGUCCCAUGCUGCCAAGAAAAGCCUCUAGCGAGGAUUAGAGCCGCCCGUACCCCAAACCGACUCAGGUGGACAGGUAGAGAAUACCGAGGCGAUCGAGUGAACCCUGGUUAAGGAACUCGGCAAAUUUGCCCCGUAACUUCGGGAGAAGGGGUGCCCUUCGCGGUGUAGGACGACACGUCCGAAGCCGCAGGGGGCCGCAGUGACCAGGCCCAAGCGACUGUUUACUAAAAACACAGGUGCAUGCGAAGUCGUAAGACGAGGUAUAUGCACUGACGCCUGCCCGGUGCUGGAACGUUACGCGGAGAGGUUAGCCUUACGGCGACGCCUUGAAGCUAAGCGCCAGUAAACGGCGGCCGUAACUAUAACGGUCCUAAGGUAAUGUGCCCUGCGUGCACAGGGCGUUGCCCUCCGUCACCGUGAGGUGGCGGAUGCAGUUGGCUAUAUGCUGGAAACUCCGAGGAUCCGGCGGUACCUAUUGUCGCAACCCGUAUGGAGGGUGUGUGGCAGGGUGACAAUCCGUCCGGUGCGGACAAUCAGCAGGAAAGGCCAGGCUUCGAGCAGUGGGUCGUCGGCUUCGUUGACGGCGAAAGCUGCUUCUCGAUCAGUGUCGGCGCAACUCGGGGUGCAGUCUCGGCUGGCAGUUCCAGCACGAGUUCUCGGUAUCCCAGGCUGAGCCGUCACGUCAUGCGCUGGAGCUCCUCUAGGGAGUACUUCGGCGUGCGUACAUUGAUCGGGAACAGCCGGCACGACAACCAUCGCAGUGCGAUGUGGCGUUUCUCUGUGAAGCGCCGCAGCGACCUCGUGGGGGUCGUUGUCCGUUUUUCGAAAACCACCCGCUGGUGACUGCCAAGGCCAUGGACUUCCGCCGGCUUUCCCGAGUGCUGCAGCUCAUGCAGCAGGGGGAACAUCUCGGCGAGGUCGGCCUGCGGCGGAUCGCUGCUCUCACCGAGCAGAUGAACCGUCGCGCGCGGUCUCGAUACCUGGAAUCCUCAGAGGCCAUACGCCAACCAUGUCGGUCCGACACCGACAUGAAGAUAUGGUCCUAGCCUCAUGGCGACAUGGGGGCUCUCUAGAGCGAAAUUCCUUGUCGGGUAAGUUCCGACCUGCACGAAUGGCGUAACGACUUGGGCGCUGUCUCAACCAGGGACUCGGCGAAAUUGCACUACGAGUAAAGAUGCUCGUUACGCGCAGCAGGACGGAAAGACCCCGGGACCUUUACUGCAAUUUGAUGUUGGGACUUGGUGUUGUUUGUGCAGGAUAGGUGGGAGGCUUUGAAGCGUGGACGCCAGUUCGCGUGGAGCCAACCUUGGAAUACCACCCUGACAGCAUUGGGUUUCUAACCUCGGUCCGUGAUCCGGAUCAGGGACAGCGUCUGAUGGGCAGUUUAACUGGGGCGGUUGCCUCCUAAAAUGUAACGGAGGCGCUCAAAGGUUCCCUCAGGCUGGUUAGCAAUCAGCCUUCGAGUGUAAGGGCACAAGGGAGCUUGACUGCGAGACUGACAGGUCGAGCAGGUGCGAAAGCAGGACCUAGUGAUCCGGCGGUGGCAAGUGGGAGCGCCGUCGCUUAACGGCUAAAAGGUACCCCGGGGAUAACAGGCUUAUCUUCCCCAAGAGUCCAUAUCGACGGGAAGGUUUGGCACCUCGAUGUCGGCUCGCCGCAUCCUGGGGCUGGAGUAGGUCCCAAGGGUUGGGCUGUUCGCCCAUUAAAGCGGUACGCGAGCUGGGUUUAGAACGUCGUGAGACAGUUCGGUCCCUAUCCGCUGCGCGCGCAGGAAAUUUGAGAAGGGCUGUCCUUAGUACGAGAGGACCGGGACGGACGAACCUCUGGUGUGUCAGUUGUACUGCCAAGUGCACCGCUGAUUAGCUACGUUCGGAUGGGAUAACCGCUGAAAGCAUCUAAGCGGGAAGCUCGCUUCGAGAUGAGAUUUCCAUACACCUUGUGUGUGAGAGGCCCCCAGCCAGACCACUGGGUUGAUAGGCCGGAUGUGGAAGCGAGGACUAACGACUCGUGAAGCUGACCGGUACUAAUAGGCCGAUAACUUACACCACACA
rnacentral:rRNA from 1 species